UGGCGUCGUGCUGAGUCUGUGCGAGGGAGAUAAGAGUAGUGUGUAUGCAGUCGGCCCGAGGCCCAUUCCAGAGUGUGUGUGAGUGGGGGAGGACGUGCUUGUACAAAGAUUUGUGUGUGUGUUGGCGUGGACAACACAUGAGAAAGGUGCUUGACGGCGUGAAGCGACUUAUCUCUCAUUAUGGCAAACAGAGCAGGAAGAUGGUCUCUUCCAAACAAUUAGAGGACACACUGUUGUGACGGACACGAUGCCCGCAUGCUGGUUCGAGCUGCUAACGAGCUGCUCACACUUCCACCAUGACACAUGUGACCAGUAUUGAGUCUCUUUUGGAAUUGCGGAAUUAAGAAUUGGGAAAAUGGAGGCGUAUUUAUAGGCAGACACAAUGAAGCAACUCUGGCCUCCAGAAGUGAGUGAAGCAAGAACGAUCAUGAAAUGGGAGUAAAGGUGGCUCGCAGGAGGAUAAAGAUAGUGACAACACAUGAAACUAAACCAGAGCUGCUCUUUUGUCCUCUGCAUGCACGUGUGCACGAGCAUAUGAGCAUCCAGGUUGACUUUCACGUUGCAUGUCGCUGCGCAUCAACGUGUCCACUGAAUGGCUGAAAGGCAAAUGGCGAGUGACAGGCCCUGGAGAGCUCGCUGCCCUGGAUGUUGGUGCUCGCCCUUGAUGGUGGAGAGAAGAAGAUAAAUAUGUUUGUGGCCAAAGAGGAAGACGGAAAAGAGGAUUUGGCGGCACCAGAGUGUGUCUGACAGCUUGAAGGGCUGGAACGGCGCGCAAGCCGACACCUUGGUGGCUCCCGGGUGGAUACAGGAACCUUGUUCAUGAGGAGGAGCAGGAAUACAAUUUUGCAGCCAGUGUAUUUUUAUUUAUUGUGUCACACCUUCCUGCUGACACUCUAGAUUUCCACUAGAGUAAACGGAACUGGCGCCACACACAGAGACACUUCCAGGUACAAGUCCCCACUGAUGCGUCCAACCACUUCCAGCUGAUGCAAUAAAAUACUUAAUGAUGUUCUCACUCUCCACUUGGAGUGUGGAGCUGCCAGGAGGAGAAGGAGCUGUGCUUGCCUCUUGCCUUUCCUCAGUGGUCAACAAAGGCGGGAUAAUGUUUAUGCUGCUACCAGCAUGGCAUCUUCCCGUCAGCCCAGGCCCAGGGAAAAGGGUCUAAAGUCACAAGGGCAACAUUUGGACAUUAACACCACAACUGUAUUUAAACAAGCUCUGCUACUCUGCACUAACCGCCAAGCUGAGCUGCAACACGUGGGCGGUUGAACCGCCUGAACUUGAUAAAAUGUGGUGAGAUGGAAGAUGGUUCUCAUCAAGUCCAAAUAAAUCAAAUACCAAGAAGUGAAGGUAA